CUCCUCAGGCUUCUUCCCUAGGUCCUGAUCCCCCUUCCCCAUCCUUUCCAGUCUGUCCCACGGAGGGUCAGAGCGAGAGCCGUCCUCAGAGCAGCCAGCGGGCACCUGUCAGCAUUCCUCUAAAUGUGGACACCUUGCGCCCAAAUAAUCUAGAGAUGGUUUCUGUGGGGUUUCCCACCCAGGUGUUGCUCACUUAGCCCACUCCCUUCCCAGAAGCUGUAGGUCUCUCUGUACAUCCUUUCAUAGCCCUUGACCCCAUCCACCUCUUACAGGGCCCAAUAGUCAUCCUGGGAGUUGGGAACCUCCCAGAGGGAUCCCUGAGGCUCCAGAGGGUAUGAAGGGAGGUGUGUCACCUGCUCUUUAUUCCAGUCAAUCCGUUGCUUCCUGUGGCCAUAGAUGGCAGAGACAGAGACAAGCAGCAGCAGCUUGGGGCCCAGGAAGAGAGCCACCAGGAGUGGAGUGGACAGUUCUCGAUCUGGAAAUGAAGGGACAGGAGGCAGCAUCAGAGAGGGAUCCAGGAGUCCACUCCCAGGGGCCUCGACUUACUCCAGCUGAGGGAACCUGCAUCCAUCUCUGCUCUGAAGCUCAUGAAUUUCCCCUGUGAGAGGCUUGAGGCAGAAUUCAGGAUAAGAAGUACCUCAUCUUGCUCACCUCUGCUCAGGCUACUGGGUGUCCUUCCUGAGGGAAGGGCUGGAGACAUGAGCACUCAGUAACAUGUAAGUGAGGUUUGCUGACUUGUUCCCCACACCCAAUGGGGCAGGUCUGACACUCUCUUCUGAGGAGGGAACAGGCUCAUAGUUUACUGAGGGUCACAAGAUGAGUGGGACUCUGCUGUCCUUAGGAUGAAUCUGAGACCUUGUGUUUGGACUAGGACAGUCCAACCUCUCAGGGUCAUAGGAACGAAUGUCAGCCUGGCCUCAAGUAGAGGAAGGACAGUGUCAAGGUGAGCAGGGUGCAAGUCUGCCCUUCCUUGUUCCACACGCGAGCCUCGAUGACCCCAUGUUCUUGUGCUGAGGGAGCCCUCGGGGUGGCCUGACCUCACAAGACCUGCUGGCUGGAGAACACCCUGGUUAGGAAAGGAAAUGGGGUCUAAACCUGGGAGGGGCUUCAAACAGCAUCCCGCGCCCCUGGACCCCCGUACCAACAUCAGGUAAUAACAUCGUUCUUUUGCACGUAGAUCAUUGGGUCUGCAUGCAUAACUUCAGAUUCUUUGCCUUUUUACAGUGACUGGAUUUUGCUCUUAGAUUUACAUCAAGAAAUUCAAAUACGUUUUUGAAAUAUAUGGAAUAAUCUUAGAGGAAGGAGCAAAGACCCACCAUUUUUACCCCUGGUGUGUCGGGGGACGGCAGGUCUCAGCUGGGCGGCCCUCUGGAAUUUUUUCUCAGUUGAAAAAGCUGCAUUGCCCAUGUUUGCACCUGCUGCAGAGGGCAGCGUGCAGCAGAGGACUGGAGGAAGUUGGGGUACAGAGGUUUUGCCCCUCCGCUCCAUUUAAAACAAGUCAAAAAUAGCAUCCAGUUCGCCUGUUCUCUGUGCAAGUAUGACUUUUCUGUGCUGCAUUGUGUUCAAUAUCUCCUUUUGCCA